CUCACUCUCCUGCCCCACCUCGACAUCCACAGCGAGGCAAUGAAGAAGCCCCUGCCAAGGAGGAGCCCGCUUCUCAGUGGGACACCGGGAAGUUUCUCUCCUGUCACAAUGGCAUGAUCUCGGCUCACUGCGACCUCUGCUUCCUGGGUUCAAGGAUUCUCCUGCCUCAGCCUCCCAAGUAGCUGGGAUUACAGGUUACAUUAGUUAUACACUCUGGAGGUGACUUGACCUGUCAUUGUGAACAAUUAUUGCUCUUGGACGACCCAGGACAUAGGCCAGCCAGUACGUACCCCAGUGUGUUGGAGAAUCGCGCUCGGCUUCUUCCUCUGUGCUGAGUCAUGAAAGUUGCCGGAGCAGGUGCAGUUACACAACCUCCAGGUAACAUCACAUGAUCGUUCAAAAAAUAAUCAUCCAAGUCCAGGAUGCAGCAUCUGUCUCAGUUUUUGGCAUAGGAUGACAGUCUGAAAUACACUUACUGAAUUUGAAUAAGAACGGGCUCAGGUAUGAUCCUGUUUAAGGACUGGAUUUAGGAUAACUACUUAGAGGUUAAAAGUCACAAGGGUGUAUGGAUGAGGCUGGAGUGAUCUGGGACCAAAGACAUCUAGGCUUGCUGUCAAGGCUUCUGAUCAACAUGAGAUGACCGCCGUGUGGUAAACUGAUGAACCCUGACCCUGAUCAACAUGAGAUGACCGCCGUGUGGUAAACUGAUGAACCCCGACCCUGAUGAACGUGAGAUGACCGCCGUGUGGUAAACUGAUGAACCCCGACCCUGAUGAACGUGAGAUGACCGCCGUGUGGUAAACUGAUGAACCCCGACCCUGAUGAACGUGAGAUGACCGCCGUGUGGUAAACUGAUGAACCCCGACCCUGAUGAACGUGAGAUGACCGCCGUGUGGUAAACUGAUGAACCCCGACCCUGAUCAACGUGAGAUGACCGCCGUGUGGUAAACUGAUGAACCCCGACCCUGAUGAACAUGAGAUGACCGCCGUGUGGUAAACUGAUGAACCCCGACCCUGAUCAACAUGAGAUGACCGCCGUGUGGUAAACUGAUGAACCCCGACCCUGAUCAACAUGAGAUGACUGCCGUGUGGUAAACUGAUGAACCCUGACCCAUUAGGCUUUGGCUACAGAAUGUGGAAAUAAGUUGUGUUACUACAUGUGUGUAAUCCUAGGGUGCAGGACACCGGCCGGGAGGUUCCAUAGAGUGAUGGGUUCUGCAGGUAACUCAUCCUCUAGUCCUCUGUAAGCUCCUAGAAGGAAGAAAUUAUGUCCUUUAGACUAAUAAAAUUCCUCCAAACCAAAUACAGCACCUACUGUGAAGACACAAAGAUACUUUUAGAAUAGUAAAAACUUUAUCCAUUGAGAAAUUCCUUAAUGAAACAGUAUCCAAGAAGUCAUUUGCCAGCAGAUUUCUUAGAGGUGCGAUAAAGAAGAGGACAUUGCCAGUCGUCACAGCAGCUGCAAUAGCUCCUCUCUAUUGUUAAACAGUGGGAUAUCUUGUGCAGGUUUUCAGUUGACAAUCAAUUUUAAAGAUUAGUUUCGGUCCCCAUCAAUCAAUUAUUUAUUAACCCAUCAAUAAAAAUUUAAAUGCUCUGUGAGGUA
ensembl:lncRNA LINC01128 long intergenic non-protein coding RNA 1128